rnacentral:rRNA from 1 species
UACAGAGACCUCAAGCGUUAUCCGGAAUCAUUGGGCGUAAAGCGUACCGAUAGGUGGUUUUGGUAGUUUUGGGUAAAAGCCAGAAGCUCAACUUCUGCGUUUGCUCAAAAUACUCCAAGACUAGAGGGAGAAAGAGGUUGCUGGAACCAACGGUGUAGUAGUGAAAUGCGUUGAUAUCGUUGGGAACACCGAAAGCGAAGGCAGGCAACUGGGUCUCACCUGACACUGCUAGGACGAAAGCGUGGGGAGCGAAUGGG